UUCACUUCUUCAUCUCUUAACCCCAAGAGACCAAAACCCUAGUCUCCCUCUCACCCCUCGCGGACUCCGCCUCUUUCCGCCGCCCGAAAUUCGCCUUACGGCGACCGAGUACCUCCAAACCGCCUCAAAUUCACACCUCGUAAUCCCUAGCUCCCUUGCUUCACUAAUCCACCAACAUUUUUACCAAAAACCCCACUAAAUUCCACCAAUUUCAAAUCUAAAAACUAUACCCAAAAAUCCUAAGUCGUCCAAACAACCUCAAAAUAACACCAGAUGACCCUCAACCAUCCCUCACCACUCUCUACUCUUGAUUUCCCAAAAAUCCCCGCCCAAUUCUUCGAGUCCCAAAUCUGUAAAAAACCAGAAACCCUAGUUCUAUUUUUUCCCUUUUUCACAUUUCUUCGGAUUGUUUCCAGACUCGGCUUAGUUGAAAAACCAUGCUAAUAAAUCGUUCUCAAUAAUAACGGUUGGUUAGAAUAUUCUUUAGCUAUAUCAAAGAAGUUCCGACUUGCCAGAUCCCUCCUGGUAUUCUUUUCUAACCUUUUUCUUGUUUCUUUAUUCUUGUUUCCCUAAUUUUUGCAUUUGUAUAACCAUAAGUUAAUUUAGUUCGUUUCUGUAUAAGUAAUUUAGUUUACUAUGAGGCUAGAAUUAAAGCUGUUCCAAGUAUGUUAACUGUUAGACAAAAGUCAGUUUAGUUUUUUAAUUUGUUUGACUUAAUCAUUCAUAGAUUAAUUAGGUUAAUUUUUGGGAUUUUAUUACAUCUGCAUUUUAGUUCUUCGUUUGAUUUACUGUUUUGCUAUGAUUGCUUGUUUGAAUAUAAUUUUGUCUGGGGUUUUGAUUAGAUUAAUCCUUUAAUUCACUAAUAGACUAGGCUAUUUAAUUUAAGGUCCAGUUAAUUUGAAGUGUAACUAAUAAUUAAAGCUUCUAAGAAUACAAUUGAAAAUAAUAUUAGGAAGUUUCAAUACUGGAAUGCUCCAGAUUAUUUUAGGAGGUUUCACAAAUAUUUAGGGCACAACUUGUUAGAAUUGAAAUAAUUAGUACUUGAAAGAGUAAAAUUGGAUUUUUACAAAGAGUAAAAUAUCAGAAUGUUCUAGCAUUUGUAUAGUCGUCUUUAUUUUCAGCAUAAAAAAUGCUAGAAUUAGACUGAAAAACAACAGACAACUAUCUAAAUAUGUUGUACUAUCUGACACUUAAGGAAUUUAGGAUAGAAUAUGUCAUUUUGAUGCUAUUUUAGCAUACCCUAUGAAAGAAAAGAUUACUCCCUCAUUUUGCAUGGAAUUGGUAGCCCAUUUAUCACCUAAAAGUUCUUUGAACAUACAGAAAAGAGACAAGAAAAUCUUCUUGUAAUUUUCUUACUCUAAAAAUUAGUUUUGGAGAGAGUUUAUAUGCUGGUUCUCUCUAGUGUUACUUGAUUCUGAUUCUGGGAAAGAUAAAAUCAGUUGUUCCUUGGUUUUAGUUUAAUUUUGAUUGUGAUGUUUGAUUCUGCUGGUUGUCCCCUUCAAAUUAGAGGUUCAUUUAUCUUGCUUUGAUUCUUGCUAGUAUAGGUAUAUAGCUUUCUCCAUCUGAGAUCAUUCAUAAAUGAAAUAUAAGGCUUGUUCUUGUUAGCCUCGUUUUUUUGGUUGCACAUAGUAUGUUAGCCUUGAGCUUGCUAGAUAUUCUCAUUUGUUGUGUAAUAUAUGGUGCUAUAAAAACUGUUAAACUGAGUUCUAGAGUAUAUUAUAAUAAUAUUUAAGUUGAUUAUUGUGAUUAAUAGUCGCAUUGUUAGUAUUAUGUCAAUAGCCCGUGCCAUAAAUACAGUUUGUUGGUCCAGAAUUGUUCGAAUGGUGGCUAUACGGAAUGGGCCAGACUUGUAAAAUUGGCCUAACUGGGGAGAUGACCUCAAACGAGUUUGAGCAUAGGCCAUUGGGUCUAAGCAUUAAGUCCAGUAGCAUGAUCCCAGGUAUGGGUUUGCCUUUUCUAAAUUGCAAUUCAUUUUUUAUGUAUUGGGAAUCAUAUAUAGUCAAUGUUAAAACUCGAAUUGUAUUCUAAACUUCUUUUUACCUCAGAAUGAAUAGAAUUCUAGCCUUGGAAAAAUGUGUGUUACGGGUGAAUUUUAUUGGUAUUGAAGAAAAAAUAGGCCAAUCAUUUAAGAGUGAUGACUGGUCCAACUUUCACCAUUUGGCCCAAUUGGACUGUUUCAUCUUAUAUCUUGGGCUUGUAACCAUUAAGCCAUACUUUUCCCUAAAAUUAGUUUGAAUUGUAUUAUUAAACACUUUGGAUGCUUACAACCAUCAUGAUUAGAUUAGAAAAAU
rnacentral:lncRNA from 1 species